GACGAACGCUGGCGGCGUGCCUAACACAUGCAAGUCGAACGGGGGUAGCAAUACCUCAGUGGCGAACGGGUGCGUAACACGUGAAGAAUUUGUCCAACGGCGGGGGAGUAGCCGGCCCAACGGCCGGGUAAUACCGCGUACGACCUUUGGGGGCGAUCCCUCGGAGGUGAAAGCCGCAAGGCGCCGAUGGAGAACUUCGCGGCCUAUCAGCUAGUUGGUGAGGUCAUGGCUCACCAAGGCGACGACGGGUAGCUGGUCCGAGAGGAUGACCAGCCACAUUGGGACGUGAGACACGGCCCAGACUCCUACGGGAGGCAGCAGUGGGGAAGUAUUGCGCAAUGGGCGAAAGCCUGACGCAGCGACGCCGCGUGUGGGAUGACGGCC
rnacentral:rRNA from 1 species